GUGUGGUUCUCUCCCUGUAGGUGGUGGAGUAAUUGUGCCUGAUAAUCAGCCAUUGGCCACACCUGGGCCUGGUGUGUGCCAGGGCCUUUAUAAAGCCUUCCUGGUGAUCAUUCUCUCCCUCUCCUGAGAUGGCCACUUGUUUUGCGUUGGUAUGAUUUGCUUUCUUGCACCGUUCAACACUGCAUACACCAUCCUUUCACACAUGCACUCACCUACACUACUGACUUUACUGAUGACCCACCACAUUGUUGGUUUAAGUUAAUCCUUUGUUACUUAAUAAAAGUUUGGCUAUGAUGGUUUUGUGUGCAUCUCCCCUUUGUUUGUCAUGGCCGAGCAGCCAGUUUAUGAUAAAUGGGGGCUCGUCCAUCUUAAUUUGAUUGUUUUGUCGCUGUUGGAGACUUUUGUGAGAUUUGGAUUGAAUUUGGGCUGCAGUUCGUAUUGGGUGUGUCCUGGGUGGGAGAUGCGUUUUUGUUAAAAUGUUGCUUUGAUGGUUUUGUUUGAUGGUUGUUUCAAUUAGGUGAGGCUGGUCCUGCAUUUAGCUGUGAGGUAAUUUUUGUGCAGGCCUGAGCUGUCAGCAGUGAUUGCAUGGUCCUCUACUGUGGUACAUUUCAACAUUGUGGAGUUUCCCUGCAGGUAUAGCAACGUGUUCCAUCUGGGCUCGCUGGUUUGUUUUUGUUUUUUUUUUGUUAGUUAUUUUUGUGUGGGGUGCGGCUAGAGCAGUUGUCUCGGGUACACCUCUAGAGUUGUCAGGUGGGUAACCAGCUCGCUGGGGGCCUAACUGCACUACUGGGCUUGGUGUUUAAAUAUCCCACUGCUGACCCACAUGAAGACUAGGGAUCAGGUAGAUAGAUUAGUUUCAUUUAAGCAGGUUAGAUGGAGGGAGACUUCCGCAUUUGUUUAAGGGACAAAUUUAUUGUCCUCUUUUGUGCCCUGAAGGACUUAAAGUGUCACUGUCUGUUGGUUCUGGCUUGUUGUGUUCUGGUUACUGGGCCUAAAGAGUAACCACAAUGGCAGGGAUAGAAAAGUUUGUUGCUGCUCCAUCUGAAGCCUUUUUGGAUCGCUGCACUAAGGAUCAUCUUUUUCAAAUUGCAGAUGAAUAUAAGAUUGAUUUAAGUGAUCUUGGUGAUAAACGGCGUAAGGACAUUAUAAAGGCUGUGGUUAAAGUACAGUUGGUAGAAGGUGGGGUGCUGGUGGUAAAGCAACAGAAACAAAGUCACAAAACCAGACUCUUUGCCGCUGCCGAGAAUGGAAGAUUGUGUUGAUCAGGUUGGGGCAGCAAAGUAUGUUAGCAAAUUCGAUCUGUUAAAGGGAUAGUGGCAGGUGCCUUUGUCCAGAAGAGCACAGGAGGUGACGGCUUUUAUUACUCCUUCAGGGCUGUUUUCAUAUAAAGUUAUGCCUUUUGGACUAAGGAAUGCGCCAGCCACCUUUCAACGGCUUAUGAUCCGCGUGUUUGCUGGGCUGGCUGGCUGUGCUGUCUAUUUGGAUGAUUUGGUGGUCUACAGUGAUUCCUGGUUUUCUCACAUGCAGCGGGUGAGGGCACUAUUUGAUAGGCUGACCGAAGCCAAGCUCACAAUAAAUCUGGCAAAAUGCGAGUUUACCAGGGCCACCGUUACUUACCUGGGUCGUGUUGUUGGUCAGGGGCAUGUGGCUCCGGUGCGGGCUAAGGUGAUGGCCAUUGAUCAGUUUCCACAGCUAGUGACCAAAAAAGAGCUGAUGAGGUUCUUGGGAAUGGUGGGGUAUUACAGAUGGUCCUGUAGGAAUUUUUCCACAGUUGUGGCACCACUUACUGACUUGUUGAAGGCCAGAGCUCAGUUUGUGUGGUCAACGGAGUGUCAGGAGGCCUUUGAGAAUGUCAAGUUUCUCUUGUGUUCAGCACCAGUGCUUAUGGCUCCCUGCUUUGACCAUCCUUUUGUGUUGCAGGUAGAUGCAAGCCAUGUUGGAGCUGGGGCAGUGCUGAUGCAGACAGAUGAGCAGGGGGUGAAUAAACCAGUCUGUUUUUUCCAAGAAGUUCAACCGCCAUCAGGUGGAUUUGUUGCUGUGGGGACGGGGGACCAGUGGACCCCCAUCUUAUUGACACACAAAUGACAUGAAGAGACAAAGUCAGAGAAAACCAAUCUGCAGACUGAGUCCUUCAGAGUCGUUUUCAUUCAGAAACAAGCAACACUAAACACAAUGAUCUGUACUAAAAGCAAGAUGUUGCUCCUUUACACCCAGCUGGUCAUACGUAUGAUGGGUGAGGAAAUGGAAGAGAAGCAAUAAUCCCAUUUUUAAGGGUGAAGAUCCUGUAUUGCUCUAUACACUAGACUGUUAUAAUUCUGGGAGAAGGUAUGUUCAAACUAGAAUUGAAGCUGUAGUUUAGCUGUAUGGGAAUGUAACUAUAGGGAGACAGAGUUACACUGCCACCCAAGACACCAAUAAUUAACCCAGUUGAAAACUUGUACAACAUGACAGCACAUCUUUUACAAUUAGAGAAUUAUGUAAUUGCCCAAUCCCAGCUUGCAUUAGUUCUCAUGUCAACAUCUUAAUGUCAAAAAACAAAGGGAUUCUGAUCCUCUGUGAACAAUAGAAAAUGGGACAUGUGCUCUGCAGACUUGGAGGAUCAAAGAUGGCUGUUGAAAGCUUUAAAGCCUCAAAAAACGACAAAUUGAUUUAUGAUGGCAGACUUGCUGUUUCAGCUUUUCACAGCUGACUGAUUUACAUACAAACAUCAGAGCUUGCACGGACAGAACGCCAGUGUUGCUUAUAAAGUCGAGCUGGAACGUCUUUCAAUAUUUAUUUGGCUUGCGGUGCAAAUGCAGAGCAGCUGUUUCUCAUGCUGUUCUGGACCCAUUGUAUGUCACUGCUCGGUUAAGAUACUGAGCUUCACUCCGUCUGUGGUCUGCUGUGGUCAAAUGCUUCACAGACGCUCUGUUAUGUGAGAUUAGCUUUGAUGACAUGAGCGUGUUUCUUGCGUGGCCUUGUUUUUCAUGUUAUGCCUCAUUUCAGCCGCACAUCUGGCAGAUGCUUGCUGAUUGCUUGUUUGGGCAUCUGAGUGUUGUUGUGUUACAGGCAGAUUUUAUAUUUUAUUCUAAAAUGAAGAAGUCACAGCUGAAGAGGUGUAAAGAAUAUGUAUUUUAAAAUAGUGCCUAAGCUUCUUUUCGCUCAUUGUUUCUAGUGUUUUCUGAAUUUGGCUGUUUUGCUUCACUCUCACUGCUCUCAUAGCUUCAUUUUCAGGUGCAGGUAGCUGCAUUGACCACUAAGCUGAAGGCAGAUAAGUUUACUACUUUCGAAGAGCAUUAAACAGCUAAAGAUUCAAAUAUAUAAGGGGAGUGAAUACUGGAUGAGUUUUAUUUCAGUGACAUCUAGAUAUAUGCAAAGUCAAAUGUGUUCUUCAGUUUUUUGCUCAUAGUUUGUUUUACAAAUGUGGCCAAAUAAUUCCUAUUUUCAGAUUUAUGUCCUUUCUCUCAGAAACAUAUAGCUAAUUUCUGUAUGUUACUUUUUUGUAAAAUAAAACUUUUGUUAGCCAGAUACUUGGUAUUAUUAUAAUGCCAUUUUACCCCUUCUUGGGUUUCCAGUUCUCUUCAUCUCCUUCCUGUCUAUUGUUUAUCCUCAUUUUUCCUCUCUCUUUCCCCAUUUCAUUUGACAGUUUGUACAUCCUCGUUUUCUUCCCUUGACUCCUCCUCUUGAGUCUUAUUCUCUCCCACUGAACAUACAAGUAAAGGAGGUGAGGAGAGGGGAACUGAGGCAACAGACAUUUUAAAGAUUGAGAAAUCAAUGCCUUGAAGUUAUUUUUUCAAAAUGACAUCAAUCAAAUAUGAUGUAUGGCACUGCUGCAUCAUCUGCCCAUUGUUUUGUUAUAGCCUACUGCUGUAUUUUAAGAUGUCUGUCAGACUUCGGCAAAUGAUACUGAGACCAAUUUCCAGGUCAAAAACAAGAGGCUGGAGGAGCCAACAUGUCUUGGUGAGGCCACCUGUUCCUGACACAUUUGAGAAUGAUCUGCAAAUAACCAGUUGCAGCAGGUUGUAGUCUUCUCUGGUCGUCUUCCUGCUACUAUCAAGCUCCAGCUGGCUUCUCAUCGGGCCAAGUUCACCUCCUGCGACUCCAAAAAGGCCAGUCAGCCAUUACUCAGAGUCCCCAUCCUUCAGACGCCACACACUUCAAAGUUCCCACUCCAGUCAUUUACCUGCAACAGCUCAUCUGUGGAUUCCCUCCCCUGGUUUCCCUCCCUUCCUCCCGCACAAAGACUGUUAUGCAAUGAACCUUUUUAAAACUGA